UGAGUACGAGAUGCUACGGCAUCGAAGCAGUCUAUGUCAUACUUCCAAGAAAAGCUUGCACUGUCAGAAACAGAUAAUGCCUGUACCAUAACCGACACAGGUGGGUAGGUAGAGUAUACUAAGGGGCGCGAGAUAACUCUCUCUAAGGAACUCGGCAAAAUGACUCCGUAACUUCGGGAGAAGGAGUGCCUUAUUUUUAAGGUUGCAAUAACAAGAUCCAAGCAACUGUUUACCAAAAACACAGGUCUCCGCUAAGUCGUAAGACGAUGUAUGGGGGCUGACGCCUGCCCAGUGCCAGAAGGUUAAAGAAGUCGGUUAGCAUUCGCGAAGCUGGUAACUGAAGCCCUGGUGAACGGCGGCCGUAACGAUAACGGUCCUAAGGUAGCGAAAUUCCUUGUCGGGUAAGUUCCGACCCGCACGAAAGGCGUAAUGAUUUGGAUACUGUCUCGGAGAGGGGCUCGGUGAAAUAGACUUGUCUGUGAAGAUGCGGACUACCUGCACCUGGACAGAAAGACCCUAUGAAGCUUUACUGUAACUUGAAAUUGAAAUUGGACUUUAUUUGCGCAGUAUAGGUGGGAGGCGUUGAAAAUAUUCUUGCGGGAAUAUUGGAGCCAUCAGUGAGAUACCACUCUUGUAAUGUUAGAUUUCUAACUUUAUAUCAUUAUCUGGUUAAAGAACAGUUUCAGGCGGGCAGUUUGACUGGGGCGGUCGCCUCCCAAAUGGUAACGGAGGCGCACAAAGGUUUCCUCUGAACGGGUAGAAAUCGUAUCUAGAGUGUAAAGGCAUAAGGAAGCUUGACUGUGAGACCUACAAGUCGAGCAGGGACGAAAGUCGGUCUUAGUGAUCUGACGGUGCUGAGUGGAAAGGCCGUCACUCAACGGAUAAAAGUUACUCUAGGAUAACAGGCUGAUCUCCCCCAAGAGUUCACAUCGACGGGGAGGUUUGGCACCUCGAUGUCGGCUCAUCGCAUCCUGGGGCGGUAGUACGUCCCAAGGGUUGGGCUGUUCGCCCAUGAAAGCGGUACGCGAGCUGGGUUCAGAACGUCGUGAGACAGUUCGGUCCAUAUCCGGUGUAGGCGUUAGAAUAUUGAGAGGAGCCUUCUUUAGUACGAGAGGACCGAGAAGGACAUACCUCUGGUGUACCAGUUAUCGUGCCAACGGUAAACGCUGGGUAGCUAUGUAUGGAGUGGAUAACCGCUGAAAGCAUCUAAGUGGGAAGCCCACCUCAAGAUAAGUAUUCUCAUC
rnacentral:rRNA from 1 species